rnacentral:lncRNA from 1 species
GAAUAUGUUCUGUCUCAUCAUACAGAUGAUCUUACUACUAGCUCAAGGCUAGGGAUGAUCAAAAGAUGAAGAAGAGGUGGUUAAAAGCUUGUAUGAGAGGUCCUUCAACUUCCAAGAGUUCCUAGCUUCCUUGUAUGGCUUCUUACACCUUUAUAUAUGUAUAGAAUGGAUGAAUGAUGAUUGAUGAUUGAUGAUGGUGGUGGUGUGGUGGUUGGCUCACGGUCGAGAGGAAGAGAGGAGAGGGGAGUGUGUGUGUGUGUUGGUGAGUUUGUGAUAAAAUGAAAGGUUAAGUUCUUUGGUUUAAGCUUAUAACACUCCACCACUUA